AUUGAACGCUGGCGGCAUGCCUAACACAUGCAAGUCGAACGGUAACAAGAAACGGCUUGCUGUUUCGCUGACGAGUGGCGGGCGUGUGAGAAAUGUCUGUAAAACUGCCUGAUGGAUGGGGAUAACUACUGAAAACGGUGGCUAAUACCGCAUAACUUCUCAAGAGCAAAGAGGAAAAGCCACAGGCCGCCUUCCUGCCACUUUUCCCAGGUGGCAUUAGCCUGUUGGUAGGGUAACGGCUCACCAAGGCCACGAUCCAUAGCUGGUCUGAGAGGAUGACCAGCCACACUGGAGCUGAGACACGGUCCAGACUCCUACGGGAGGCAGCAGUGGGGAAUAUUGCACAAUGGGCGCAAGCCUGAUGCAGCCACGCCGCGUGUAUGAAGAAGGCCUUCGGGUUGUAAAGCACUUUCAGUGGGGAGGAAGGGAGUAAAGUUAAUACCUUCGCUUAUUGACGUUACCCGAAGAAGAAGCCACGGCUAACUACGUG
rnacentral:rRNA from 1 species